AAAUGUAUUUGUUGACCUUACUUUGGAGUCCCGAUUGAGUUUCAGAAACAAUUUUGGAUAAGGAGUCAAAUAAUGAGCCAAGACACAGUCCUUCACUACUACUUUAUCACUGGUGCCUUCUACCUUUAACACGGCCUGGUUGAACCUCUUGACAUAAUCUUUCAAACAUUCCCCCCCUUUCGUUUGGUGAACCGUAAAUAGGUGGGAUGAAUUCUUCUGUUUGACUCGGCAGCUCAUGAAAUUGAUAGCAAAGAGCUUGCUUAGCUCGCCAAAUGAAUCAAUAAUUCC
rnacentral:lncRNA from 1 species